rnacentral:lncRNA from 1 species
UCCAAACAGGGGAGAAUUGACUUUACUGAGAGACCAGAUGUUUAAACUGAUUUUAUACUACCCAUUCCUUUAAGGCUAGGAGGGGCCGGAAGUCUCACAGGAACAGCUCACAUCCUGCUGCUCUGGAUAAAUAAGAUAAGAACAUAAGAACAGCCAUACUGGGUCAGACCAAAGGUCCAUCUAGCCCAGCAUC